GUGAGACUCUCUACUACAUUUCAUUACUUCCAUCUCUGCGUAUUGAUUGAUAUAUGUCUUGGCUCUGUCUUGUCUCCAUUGUGUCUUGGCUCUCGUUAUAUGAACUUGAAUGUGUACCUGAGACAUGAGAUUGGUCUCAUUAUAUGAACUUGAUAUGUGUCUUGGCUCUGUCUUGUUUCAAUGCAUUGUGUCUUGUUUCCAUUGUGUCUUGGUAUAUAUAUAUGUAUAU
rnacentral:lncRNA from 1 species